rnacentral:sRNA from 1 species
UCUUUUAUUGAUAUAUUUUCUAGUGUAAUGAAGACAUAAACACAGAGUAUUGAAACAUUUGUACAUUGAGAUCUAAUUGGUGGAAACUGGCAUGGUUUGCUUCAAACCAAACCAUAUUCCACAACACUCGAGAUCUAUGUAGAAGGAAAGGAGAAAGAAAAUUCAGUAUCCAAACAAAUCCUCAGUCAGUAUUUUAUAAUUCAGAAGGAACUACACAUUCAUACUUUUGUAAAUCAGCACGCCUCAAGCUCACUGCAGCUUAACGUGUAGUGUCUCAGGCAUUGGAGCCAUUGUAGAGUCAUAAACAAGGUGACACCAGCUCCACUCCAACUCAAGACAGAAGGGGGAAAAGUGGGUGGGCUAGUUGGGGAGGCAAAAGAACAUGUUAUGAUCCAAACAACGACAAUUUAGUACACUGCCUUAUGUUAAAAGUAAAACAAGGUACAAAGUGGAAGCAAGAAACAAAGCAAGUUUAAAUGUAAAAGCAUGUAAAAUUUUAUUCAGUAGGAGAGAGAAAGCAUGUAAAAUUAACAAGGUUAACAGAAAUCUCAUGAAAUGCUAAUUUAUUUCAUGGUUUAAAUUACUUUUUCCUCGUUCAUCCAUACUUCUGGUUAUGGGUAUAUCAAACAAUAAUGGUCACUCUGAAUUAACUAUUUAUGUGAAAAAAAAAAACAGGAGUGCAGUUGGCAUCAAGAGAGUAUGCUUGGAAAGGUUAACGCUUUCAGUUUUUGGUAAAAAGAAAUUGUGAGGUGCUUUCCGAUAAUGCUUUGUGAAGAAAUUACUACUGUUAUAGGAAAAAAAUGUUCUUUUAAUUAGGCAAUAAAAUAACACUCCUUAACCUUUGGGGAAAAAACACGAGCAGCAGAGUUCAUACCUAAAAUAACAACAAUGCUCUUGACUGUAGAGUGUCAAUCUCCUAAAAAUGACUGUUGCCUCGCAAAGCUGACGAAUCAUCAAAAUUUGAGGAAAGGAUAUCUCAGAACAUGGCGUAUUCAACCAUCUUCUACUACAAACAUGAUUGAACUCCCACCCCAUCAAUCCUAAAACCCCUAUCAGCAUUAACUGCUUUUCCACAAAACCAUCAACAUCUCUGAGAACUUGAGCUAAAUUUUCUCAUGAGUUCUAUGUUUUCUGCAAUUGUGGACCCAGGUGUUCCAACAAAACCUAGAGAUGCGCAGCUGCAUACAGUCUGCUCAACAUAAAGAAGUAAAUCUGGCAAUCUCUGACUGGAACAAUAUUUUUUACCAAUUGUACUAUAUGAAUUUGAUAGGAACCUCUGCCCAUGACCAGCUGUCAUGAGUUUUAUAGCUGCUCGCUUAAUCAGCUUAUCAUUCGCUUUCAAAAAGUAUAGCUUAUACUUGUGAUUCUCACUAACUAAAUCACCUAAAUAAGUAUUAGUCCAAUUAUCUCCAGGAAGAUCAGUCAUUAUAAAAAUAUGAAUUGGUAGAGGGCCUUCCUUCCUUAAAGAUUCUAGUUUUUGCCUUAAUCCUUGAAAUGUAGCCUUUUGAUGAUUCUUAAACUGCCCAUCCAACAAUCUAAGUUGUGCGCAAAGAAAUGGAGCCCUUAUGCUUUGUUUAGAAAACUCCUUUCCAGCUAUCAAAAUUUCUGGGACAAAGGAAAGAAGUUUAGUCUUCUCCUUCAGAGAUAGAAAUCUCUGAUUCUGAUUAGACUCACGGAUAUCCACAUAUAGUUCAGAACCUUUGUAUGUGGCAGAGAAAAGGGUUCCAAAUGCCAGCAGUGAGGCUGAUUCAGCUUCAGAAUCAGGUCCUAGAGUCUUAAAUACAUCCCUCCGUCUUCUAACAUAUGAUAUUUUCUUUUUCUGCUUCAGUUUUUCAUCGGGUUGAAAUGAAUCUAACAUACCGUCUCCAAGCCCAUCUUCAUUGUAAGUCCAUACUGUAGUUCUGCAAUCCUCAUUGACAGCAUAUAUACACUUUUCAAUACUACCAUGGAGCCCAGCUAGCAGAGAUCCACAUUGGUUAAGGCUUUUAGAAACAGAGGAAUGCAACUUUGUAUCUGUUACGCAAGCCAAAUCUAAGCUGAUGCCACACCAUAUGGACACAAAAUCCCUAAGAUCAAUCACUCGAACAAGAGAGGAAGAAACUAAUGAUGUGAUGUCAACAAUUUCAGCAAUGGAUAUAUACCUGCAAGAACAAUGACUGAUUAAUUUACACAGAAAGUGAAAUUCGAUCUCAGAUAUAAAAUUUCAACAAUACAGAAAACUAUGCAAGAAAGGCAUUCAUGCCCUUAAAUUUUUCUUCCGUUGUUACAGUCAAUGUUAUUAUUAUGAUAUAAUAGGAAACUUUGUUAGCAAUCACAUAUGAAACCAGCCAACAACUGCUAGAAACAUUUUUGCAACGUGAAAAUCAUGGAAUUGUAAAGAACGAAGUGGUCAGUAUCUGAUUGUCAUGGAAAUAGUUGACCAGUCUUUUUCCUCCUCCAAAGCUGAGAUUUUUACUCAUUUUUUUUGGAACAGUAACCAAAAUUUUUUGAAGAAUUUUUUCAUCUAGAAAGGGCUUCCCAACAAGUUGCUCUUUAUUUGCUAUACUCAUCAACCAAUCGGCAUAGCUUUUAAUUGUUUUUGUCUCCUUGAUGCUUUGCAUCUUGAAUUCUCUAGCAAAGUUGGACGGUUGCAUGUCUUUGGUUCUUUCACAGCCAAAAUAUUCUUUCUUGAGAUAAUCCCAAAUCUCUUUGACAGAUUUGAAAUUCCUAAUUCUUGUAAAAAUAAUUUUUUACAACGACGAAAGCCCUGAUAUACUUGUUUAUAGGAACCUUUUUUUAGAAUCAACAGUGUAGCAACAAGGAUUGUUUACAACUGCAAUUUGAUCCACUACACUAAACUGAUCUGCUACAGCAGUGCUUGUACAAGGCCAGGUGUACUCUGCAUUGUUACAUUACUAUAACAGCUCUAUUUAAAACCCAGAAAAUCACAAAUCAAUAGUUGCAGUGUGUGAAAAAAACUUACUAACCUUCGACUUUGGACAAGCUCAAUCACAUGAUCCCAAACAGAUAUCCGAAUAUCCUUUGGAUCUACAACCCGAAACUUUGGACAGCUACCUAAAGCAAUAGCAUGGUGAUCCAUAACAGGAGGAACCACCAAAGUUCGAUUCAGUAUACCAGCCAUUAGAAUAGCAUUCUUGAACUCUGAAAGUUGGUUGCCGAACCCACUGUGAGGUGCAUACCACGUGAAUUUCUCCCCUAAGGUAAGGGCUUGGCUGGAGCAUUGAGGGGUAUGAGAUGUUGAAAUAUUGGACAAUCUAGAGAUCUGAGAACUAGGUUUCGCAUAGUAAUAGAACAACAACAAGAAGGAGAGGCAUAUGACAAGGACAGACACAGGAAUGAACGGGAAUCUGUAAAGGGGCUUUCUUUUAGACAACAUUUUAGUUGGUGUGUUAGGAUUCAAAGUGUUUAUGGCUGUACACUUGUAACACAGAUUGAUAAAACCCGCACAUUCAAGUAAGUUUGCAGAGAACAAUUGAGCUCAUCAACAAUAACCUGAAACUUUCUCAUUCCUGAAACAAAUUUGGAAUAAAAGUGAGAAAAAAAAGAGUCUGCAAGCAACAAUACCUAUCACAAGAUCAAUUUUAAAAAAAAAAAAACAAUGUCACCUCUAAUGACUAAACGACUCAGAAUUUACAAUCUGAAACUUUCCUAUUCAUGAACUAAAUUCCAAAUAAAAAUAGCAAAAGAGUGUCCACAAGCAAC